rnacentral:rRNA from 1 species
GGCGAACGGGUGAGUAACACGUGGGUGAUCUGCCCUGCACUCUGGGAUAAGCCUGGGAAACUGGGUCUAAUACCGGAUAGGACCAUGCUUUAGUGUGUGUGGUGGAAAGUUUUUUCUGUGUAGGAUGAGCCCGCGGCCUAUCAGCUUGUUGGUGGGGUAAUGGCCUACCAAGGCGGCGACGGGUAGCCGGACUGAGAGGUUGGUCGGCCACAUUGGGACUGAGAUACGGCCCAG